AUACGGAGGAUCCGAGCGUUAUCCGGAUUUAUUGGGUUUAAAGGGUGCGCAGGCGGGAGAUUAAGUCGGCGGUGAAAUUUUGCAGCUCAACUGUAAAAGUGCCUUUGAAACUGGUUUCCUUGAGUGCAGAUGAAGUAGGCGGAAUUUGUGGUGUAGCGGUGAAAUGCAUAGAUAUCACGAGGAACUCCGAUUGCGCAGGCAGCUUACUAAACUACUACUGACGCUCAGGCACGAAGGCGUGGGGAUCAAACAGGAUUAGAUACCCUGGUAGUCCACGCAGUAAACGAUGAUUACUAGCUGUUUGCGAUACAAUGUAAGCGGCUGAGCGAAAGCGUUAAGUAAUCCACCUGGGGAGUACGUUCGCAAGAAUGAAACUCAAAUGAAUUGACGGGG
rnacentral:rRNA from 1 species